UGGGCUCGCGGGGUGGCGAGAUGAGCCGGAGGCUGUGGAGUCCACGACGCGCGCUCUACGUCAAACACCUGCAGAAGAGGAGGGGAAUCGGCGACUCUCGUGGGAGUAGGCGAUUCGGGCUCCUUGGAUGCUCUAGUGUGGAGUGUGAGUCAAGAGAGGAUGAGUUGAGGGUAGAGGUCCCCCAAGGACCCCUUUUAUAGGGUCUUGG
rnacentral:lncRNA from 1 species